rnacentral:rRNA from 1 species
GAUGAACGCUGGCGGUGUGCCUAAUACAUGCAAGUCGAGCGGAUUUUCGGAAGCUUGCUUCCGAAAAUUAGCGGCGGACGGGUGAGUAACACGUGGGCAACCUGCCUGUAAGACUGGGAUAACUUCGGGAAACCGGAGCUAAUACCGGAUACAUUCUUCCCUCGCAUGAGGGAAGAUGGAAAGACGGUUUUGCUGUCACUUACAGAUGGGCCCGCGGCGCAUUAGCUAGUUGGUGAGGUAAUGGCCCACCACGGCGACGAUGCGUAGCCGAACUGGGAGGGGGAUUGGCCAGACUGGGACUGAGACACGGCCCAGACUCCUACGGGAGGCAGCAGUAGGGAAUCUUCCGCAAUGGACGAAAGUCUGACGGAGCAACGCCGCGUGAGCGAAGAAGGCCUUCGGGUCGUAAAGCUCUGUUGUCAGGGAAGAACAAGUACCAUAGUAACUGAUGGUACCUUGACGGUACCUGACCAGAAAGCCACGGCUAACUACGUGCCAGCCGCCGCGGUAA